GUCUUCACUUGCGGUAGUUUUUGUGCGUUGCACGUAUUGAAAGAUUGCACUGUGACUAUGCUUUUGACUACUGGGGGAAAGGCACAAUGGUUACCGUUUCAUCAGCUUCAACACCAACUGCUCCGACCUUGUUCCCUCUUGUGCAAUGUGGCUCCGGGACCGGAGAUAUGAUGACUCUGGGUUGCAUUGCCACUGGCUUCACGCCUGCCUCCCUCACCUUCAAAUGGAAUGAAGAAGGCGGGAAUUCCCUGACUGAUUUCGUUCAGUACCCUGCGGUCCAAACCGGUGGAAGCUACAUGGGAGUCAGUCAACUCCGUGUAAAGAGAGCAGACUGGGACAGUAAAACAUUUGAAUGCGCCGUGGAACAUUCAGCUGGUUCAAAGGAAGUAUCAGUGAAGAAACAAAUGGAAUAUCUGCAGCACCCGUCUCUUUACGUAAUGACCCCCUCUAAAGAGGAGAUGGCAGAAAAUAAGACGGCUUCCUUCGCCUGCUUUGCCCAUGACUUUUCACCCCGUACACACACAAUCACAUGGACGAGGACGGAAAAGGGAACAGAAAGGGAAGUUGUAUCUGACUUCAAGAGUUCUUGUGAGAGUGAGAAGAAGAGUGAGAAAACUCUGUACAGCUCAACCAGCUAUCUCAGGGUCAAUGAGAGUGAGUGGAAGAGUGAAGAAGUAACAUUCACUUGCGUCUUUAAGAACAAAGCUGGAAAUGUGAGGAGAACUGUGGGCUACACUUCAUCAGAUGCAGGUCCACCCCAUGAACAUUCAGUAGUCAUUAAGAUCACCCCGCCGUCUCUUGAGGAUAUGCUUAUGAACAAAAAAGCUGAGCUUGUGUGCAAUGUCGAUGAAGUAGUUCCUGGCUUCAUGAGCGUCAAAUGGGAAAAUGACAAUGGAAAGACCUUAACCAGCCGGAAGGGUGACACUGACAAAAUUGCCAUACUUGACAUCACUUAUGAGGACUGGAGCAAUGGGACAGUAUUCUACUGCGCUGUAGAUCACUUGGAAAACCUGGGGUCCUUGGUAAAGAAAGCCUACAAGAGGGAGACCGGAGGAGAUCCACAGCGUCCAUCUGUCUUUCUGCUGGCUCCAGCAGAACAAACUAGUGAUAAUACGGUGACCCUGACUUGCUACGUCAAAGACUUCUACCCCAAGGACGUUUUAGUGGCUUGGCUUGUUGACGAUGAGCCGGUGGAGAGAACGAUCAGUUCAGCAUUGUACCAAUUCAACACCACUAGCCAGAUUCAAUCAGGAAGGACCUACUCUGUCUACAGUCAGCUCACAAUUAGCAAUGACUUGUGGAAGAACAAAGAAGUGGUGUAUAGCUGUGUAGUUUACCACGAAAGCAUGAUCAAGUCCACAAAAAUGAUUAUGAGAACCAUUGACAGAACCUCAAACCAACCCAACCUAGUUAACCUCAGCUUGAAUGUGCCUCAGAGCUGCAAGGCCCAGUAGAGGUUGUGUUGUGUUUUGUUGAUGUGUGUUGCUGCAUGUUACCUCUGCUGUUUGUGUCAGUGACAUAACAUGUUGUGUGUCUUUUAAAUGCAGAAUUAAAAUAAAAAUAAAAACUUUCAAUCAUUAA